rnacentral:misc_RNA from 1 species
UACGGAGGAUGCGAGCGUUAUCCGGAUUUAUUGGGUUUAAAGGGUGCGUAGGCGGCUAUGUAAGUCAGCGGUGAAAUUCAAGUGCUCAACAUUUGACGUGCCGUUGAAACUGCGUGGCUUGAAUGCGGAUGCCGUGGGAGGAAUGUGUGGUGUAGCGGUGAAAUGCAUAGAUAUCACACAGAACACCGAUUGCGAAGGCAUCUCACGAAUCCGCUAUUGACGCUGAGGCACGAAAGUGCGGGGAUCAAACAGG